UCUGCUUACCUUGACUUUGUGAUGUCAGGAGUGGAGUCAGUGUGACGGAACCACAGAAGGAAGUGUAGAGUAUCACAGCCGCAUGAAACUCGCCGAAUGUCUAGUGGCUGCGUUAGAGAAGAAAUGUGGAUUGGCUGGUGCCUUCUAAGCGUUUGGCUUUUGGAAAUAGGAAGCUCAAAUGCUCGCAUCGACCAAACACCGGGUUUAGUGCUGAGAGAACGCGACACGGCGCAGCUGGAAUGCAAUCAAACGGAGUCACACAACUAUGUGUUCUGGUACCGGCAGGAUGCAAAUCGAGGUCUGCAGUUUCUCUAUUUUUUCCAGUAUCGAGAGCUUCUGGAGAACAGCAGUCUUCCUGAACGGUUCACAGCCGAGCAGCCUGAGACUCAGCGCCUUAAGCUGAAGAUUUCCUCUGUGAAAAAAGAGGAUUCGGCUGUCUACUUCUGUGCAACCAGCGUUGACACAGCAGUUCAAAGUAAUGCUUCCCACCUACAAAAACAUUUCAUAUGUAUGAGCGUCUGAGGGUGGAACAAGACAGACAUGAUCCUGUGUUUUUCUCAUAACACUCAUGCUGGGAAUUUGGGCAGUAUUUGAAUAGACAAAUCAGU